rnacentral:rRNA from 1 species
GAUGAACGCUGGCGGCGUGCCUAAUACAUGCAAGUCGAGCGAACAGACGAGGAGCUUGCUCCUCUGACGUUAGCGGCGGACGGGUGAGUAACACGUGGAUAACCUACCUGUAAGACUGGGAUAACUUCGGGAAACCGGAGCUAAUACCGGAUAACAUGCUGAACCGCAUGGUUCAACAGUGAAAGACGGUCUUGCUGUCACUUAUAGAUGGAUCCGCGCCGCAUUAGCUAGUUGGUAAGGUAACGGCUUACCAAGGCAACGAUGCGUAGCCGACCUGAGAGGGUGAUCGGCCACACUGGAACUGGGACGCGGUCCAGGCUCCUACGGGAGGCAGCAGUAGGGAACCUUCCGCAAUGGGCGAAAGCCUGGCGGAGCAACGCCGCGUGAGUGAAGAAGGUCUUCGGAUCGUAAAACUCUGUUAUUAGUGAAGAACAAAUGUGUAAGUUACUAUGCACGUCUUGACGGUACCUAAUCAGAAAGCCACGGCUAACUACGUG